rnacentral:rRNA from 1 species
CCUACGGGUGGCAGCAGUGAGGAAUAUUGGUCAAUGGCCGGAAGCCUGAACCAGCCAAGCCGCGUGCGGGACGAAGGUGCUAAGCGUUGUAAACCGCUUUUGUCCGGGGACAACAUCAUCCCCUUGAGCCUGACCGCAGGUACCGUGCGAAUAAGGGUCGGCUAAUUCCGUGCCAGCAGCCGCGGUAAUACGGAGGGAGCGAGCGUUAUCCGGAUUUAUUGGGCUAAAAGGGAGCGUAGGCGGACUGUCAAGUCAGCUGUAAAAUCCCGCGGCUCAACCGCGCCGCGCAGUUGAAACUGGACGCCUUGAGUUCACAACAGGUAGGCGGAAUUCGUGGUGUAGCGGUGAAAUGCAUAGA